AGAGACUUGAAGCCUGAGAAUAUUCUCCUUGAUGAUCGUGGACACAUCCGGAUUUCAGACCUCGGUUUGGCCACAGAGAUCCCAGAAGGACAGAGGGUUCGAGGAAGAGUUGGAACAGUCGGCUACAUGGCACCUGAAGUUGUCAAUAAUGAAAAGUAUACGUUUAGUCCCGAUUGGUGGGGACUUGGCUGUCUGAUCUAUGAAAUGAUUCAGGGACAUUCUCCAUUCAAAAAAUACAAAGAGAAAGUCAAAUGGGAGGAGGUUGAUCAAAGAAUCAAGAAUGAUACCGAGGAGUAUUCUGAGAAGUUUUCAGAGGAUGCCAAAUCUAUCUGCAGGAUGGGCUGCCUGACCAUGGUCCCCAGUGAGAAGGAAGUGGAACCCAAGCAAUGCUGAGUACCCCGGUGCAGACCACAGAGCAGACCCUGGCGCCAGGAAGGAGCAUGUGUUAGCGUCUCGUCCCACCUGGAAUUGUAAUAAAUACAUCUAAAUAAAGCAUGCCUUGGGAGUGCACAGAC
rnacentral:sRNA from 1 species